GAUGAACGCUGGCGGCGUGCCUAAUACAUGCAAGUCGAGCGAACGGACGAGAAGCUUGCUUCUCUGAUGUUAGCGGCGGACGGGUGAGUAACACGUGGAUAACCUACCUAUAAGACUGGGAUAACUUCGGGAAACCGGAGCUAAUACCGGAUGAUAUUUUGAACCGCAUGGUUCAAAAGUGAAAGACGGUCUUGCUGUCACUUAUAGAUGGAUCCGCGCUGCAUUAGCUAGUUGGUAAGGUAAUGGCUUACCAAGGCAACGAUGCAUAGCCGACCUGAGAGGGUGAUCGGCCACACUGGAACUGAGACACGGUCCAGACUCCUACGGGAGGAAGCAGUAGGGAAUCUUCCGCAAUGGGCGAAAGCCUGACGGAGCAACGCCGCGUGAGUGAUGAAGGUCUUCGGAUCGUAAAACUCUGUUAUUAGGGAAGAACAUAUGUGUAAGUAACUGUGCACAUCUUGACGGUACCUAAUCAGAAAGCCACGGCUAACUACGUG
rnacentral:rRNA from 1 species